UUUAACCAAAAUUGUGUAUCUUCUGCUAGACAUGAGUGAGAAGGGCUGUCCCAGGAGGCUGCUGCCCUUCAGCCUGGGUCUCAGAAUCAGAUGUGGAGCACACCUGAGAAAGGUAGGCCUGUGGAGUGAAGCAGAGCUACCCUGCUAAAUCCAGCUGACUCCCAGACAUAAGGUGCUUGUUUCCCCUUCACCUUCCACCAUGAUUCUACAUUUCCUGAGGCCUCCCCAGCACUGUGGAACUAUGAGGAAGCGGAUGCAUAGCAAGUUUAAAUAGCUUGCAGAAGGACACACAGUUUGCAAGUGAAGGAGCUCAAAUUCAAAGACUGGCAGUCUGCAUCCAGAGUUGAUCAUCUUAAAUACCAUGCUGAACCGGUUGCUCUCAAAGUCUAAACAGUAUUUUUUACAAUAAGAUAUCCUUUUGUAGGUCAACGAAUAGUUUCUAAUUCUUUUUAAAAUAAAAUACAAUGAACUGAAUACAAUUUAAUGCAUCAGAGUAAAUUUUACAUAGCAAAGUAUGUAUUAUUUUCUUUCAGCUAUGCAAUUCCACUAGUAUGAGGUAUCUACUGUAGUGAAACUCACAGAAACAGAAAG
rnacentral:lncRNA from 10 species